ensembl:snoRNA
GGCCACCUGGUGCUUACCACAGGCAGAGUUCUCAACACUGACUGUAUAGAAGAAGGAGGCAAAGUAAGUCCCCCAUAUGCACCUCAGCCCAGGCCUUGUGCCUUAUGUGUCUUGUGAAUGGGAAAUGG